AACUUUUUUUUUGGGUCUGAUCUGUUUCUCUUUCUCUAUCUUUCUCCUUCAAAAACUCUACUUCUCUCCUUUGUUGGCUCCGAACCGGAGUCCUACGUUCAUCGCCCUCUCACACCGCCGCCACCACCACUAAGAGCAGCGGAUGAACAUGAACAAAACCCAGGUUUUAUUACACCGCGUUUUAGUUUCCUCAUAUAUGUUUUUGAAUUCAAGAAUGGAUCUUGAAUGACGACUCAGAUCUUGUCAAUCGGUUGCAGGUAUAUUACCCAAGAAAUAGUAGAUUGGUUGUAGGUGAAUUCUCUCUACCUCGAUCUAUCCUUUUUACCCCAUAUUGUAUAAUCAAUUUGUUGGUUGAAUCUCAAUCUUUUGUUUCUGUUCUUAGUUCUUGUUCAUCGGCCUCUCA
rnacentral:lncRNA from 1 species